GCCGAUGCGGUGCCUUUUCUGCACCGGUUCCCGAGCGGGGGAAAAUGAAAGGGCACGAAAUGAACAUGAACGGAGAAGAAAAUUAACGAAACACACAAUGGGAAAUGAAGGAACAGCUGUCCACACGUGCACAGUUCCAGUGGCUACCACGAGGUAGCAGGUCUACUGGCGGCGUCCCUUCCUUGAAUCGCGUUGUUGUGUUUAGCACUUGUGUGUUUUUGUGUUUGUUUUGUGUUGUGUUUUGUAGGGACAUCCCCUUACAGACAGCCCCUGAUGUCCCUUGGCCAAUUAAGGCACCAAGAGGUGACAUGCCAGACGGAGAUUCCCUUCGCAGACCUUCCCUGCUGUCUCUGUGACUGAAAGCGUUAGCAGUUCUCCCGAGUCGGGGAUUUGCAUCACCUUCAUCACCAGGGAGCAGCACCGGAACAAAUCAAAUUACAAAAAGGGGACGUGACAAAUUAACGUACGCGCAGUCCGAC